UUCCGUAGGUGAACUGCGG
rnacentral:rRNA from 1 species